UGGACAGAGCGAAAAAGAGAGAUAAGGCAAUGAAAGGGAGAUGUGGAGCAGAUUAGCGGCAUGACUCAACGUGAGCGACUGGCUCACAAUUGGGGGGGGGGGGCAUUGCUGCAGUUGCUUCUUAUGAAACACGGAAAGGUCAGCAGGAAAAACGGGAAGUUCGCUGUGAAAACUCUCGGUGUAUGCUAAUUUUCUGGAGUUCUUAGGGGGCUACAUGAUCGAAUGCAGAGGUCAUCAACCUUUUGGAAACGGGAGAGCUGCUACCAAAUGUGAAGGGCUACCAGUUUCUUAGGCAUUUCUGAGAAUCAACGCUGGUGCGUUAGACAUAACUCAAAACGGGUUCGAAAGAUCCAGCGGGAAGAGCAAGCGACACACCUCUCGCAGGCGAGAUGGGUCGAAUCACCUCCACGCAAGCGCCGUUCUUCUCACCGGGGACAAACUGGGCGUAGGGUUGGGUGACAGGUGGGGAAAGACAAAGGGUUGGUCGGGCCCACAAGAGAUGCGCAGAUAAGACAGAUGGCGGGGACAAUAAAAUCAGAUGCUCAACGUUUAGAAGUAA